CAGGCCUAACACAUGCAAGUCGAACGAGCUCUUCGGAGCUAGUGGCGGACGGGUGAGUAACGCGUGGGAACGUGCCCUUCUCUACGGAAUAGUCCCGGGAAACUGGGUUUAAUACCGUAUACGCCCUUCGGGGGAAAGAAUUUCGGAGAAGGAUCGGCCCGCGUUGGAUUAGGUAGUUGGUGGGGUAAUGGCCUACCAAGCCGACGAUCCAUAGCUGGUUUGAGAGGAUGACCAGCCACACUGGGACUGAGACACGGCCCAGACUCCUACGGGAGGCAGCAGUGGGGAAUCUUAGACAAUGGGGGCAACCCUGAUCUAGCCAUGCCGCGUGGACGAUGAAGGCCUUAGGGUUGUAAAGUCCUUUCGCUGGGGAAGAUAAUGACGGUACCCAGUAAAGAAGCCCCGGCUAACUCCGUGCCAGCAGCCGCGGUAAU
rnacentral:rRNA from 1 species